UACGGAGGGAGCAAGCGUUGUUCGGAUUUACUGGGCGUAAAGAGCGCGUAGGCGGUUUGGUAAGUCAGAUGUGAAAACCACCGGCUCAACCGGUUGGACUGCAUUUGAUACUGCUUAACUUGAGUUCAGGAGAGGAGAGCGGAAUUCCCAGUGUAGCGGUGGAAUGCGUAGAUAUUGGGAAGAACACCAGUGGCGAAGGCGGCUCUCUGGACUGACACUGACGCUGAGGCGCGAAAGCUAGGGGAGCAAACAGGAUUAGAUACCCUCGUA
rnacentral:rRNA from 1 species